rnacentral:rRNA from 1 species
GACGAACGCUGGCGGCGUGCUUAACACAUGCAAGUCGAACGGAAAGGCCCUGCUUUUGUGGGGUGCUCGAGUGGCGAACGGGUGAGUAACACGUGAGUAACCUGCCCUUGACUUUGGGAUAACUUCAGGAAACUGGGGCUAAUACCGGAUAGUAGCUCCUGCUGCAUGGUGGGGGUUGGAAAGUUUCGGCGGUUGGGGAUGUACUCGCGGCUUAUCAGCUUGUUGGUGGGGUAGUGGCUUACCAAGGCUUUGACGGGUAGCCGGCCUGAGAGGGUGACCGGCAACAUUGGGACUGAGAUACGGCCCAGACUCCUACGGGAGGCAGCAGUGGGGAAUAUUGCACAAUGGGCGGAAGCCUGAUGCAGCAACGCCGAGUGCGGGAUGACGGCCUUCGGGUUGUAAACCGCUUUCGCCUGUGACGAAGCGUGAGUGACGGUAAUGGGUAAAGAAGCACCGGCUAACUACGUG